UUUUUCCUACGGGGGGCAGCAGUGAGGGAUAUUGGUCAAUGGGGGAAACCCUGAACCAGCAACGCCGCGUGAGAGAAGACGGUUUUCGGAUUGUAAACCUCUGUCCUCUGUGAAGAUAAUGACGGUAGCAGAGGAGGAAGCUCCGGCUAACUACGUGCCAGCAGCCGCGGUAAUACGUAGGGAGCGAGCGUUGUCCGGAUUUACUGGGUGUAAAGGGUGCGUAGGCGGGGUAGCAAGU
rnacentral:rRNA from 1 species